AGAUGCCACUUGUAUAAGAUUUUUUGUCUCCCUUUUCAGACAAGUAUGGGAGAGAGAUGGAAGGGAGCAGAAACUGAGGAGAGAGCCCUUGUCCUGCUAAUCAAUAUAUUUGCCUGGGUAAACCUCAGGGUGUCUGUGCCCACAGGGGGCUGUGAGGCACUCUCUCCCAGUCCAUAGGGUCAGUCCAGCCCUGGAGAAUGGCAGGGGGAAGCAGGA
ensembl:lncRNA novel transcript